GACGCGAAAGGGCAAACCCGGCGAAAGCCGGGGACGCAAAGCUCCGGCGCUUCGAGGGCGACCUCAUGCGGGCCGAGCUGCCGAA
rnacentral:ncRNA from 1 species